AACUAAAGGCUGAAUGCUGACCUGACUCAACCUGGCUCAUCUAAAUAUCGAUCUGGGCUACCUGAAUUGACUUUCGAUGAUAUAUUAUGAUUAGCCCAUAUAAAUAUUGAUCUGACUCAUUUUAGUUCAUAUAAAUACCGAUUUGAAGUAAAGUGUUCCAUAUAUCCAAGACGUCCGGAGUCUCAUAUGAUACUUGAUCUCAUCUCGA
rnacentral:lncRNA from 1 species